AGUAACGUAAGUUUAGCACUGUGUUAUGAAUGCUGCAUCGUGAAUACGCCGGUGGCCCAUCAACUCUCCCCCGUAACUACCCGAGCCACGACGCACACGUAUACUCACCGACUUUUAUUAUUUUUUCCCUCCAUGGCGCUCGGAGAUUGGAAACGCACUGGCAGUGUGGACUGUGGAUAAAAGACUUCGAAAUAUAUAUUAAAAAGUCAACAUUGGAUUUUUGUUUGUGAUUAUCAUCUGGAUAAAUAUGACCCUGCUAUUUGUUCUAAUAUCACCGUUGCUUUUCUUUAUUUCACUUCGUAUGGGCUCUGGACUCGUACAAUGUAGAGCAACUGAGGCGCGGAAAAUGGACAAUAGCCGUCGAAUAGCAAACAUAACAGCCGCCAUUAAAGACAUGCUUCAUCCUGAUGAUUAUGAUAUCAGAUUAAGGCCUAGGUUUGGAGGCCCUGCUAUCGACAUAGGUAUAGACAUCGAGAUAGUAUCAAUAAACAGCAUUUCAGAAGUUAACAUGGUAAGUUUUCUGAUUUUAUUUUAAUAUUGUUUUCAACUAUCAGUUUGAUCUGAAACAUAUUUGCCAAACUGAAUACAUUACUUUAUGACUAAACUUCUUUAAAUGGAUUGAGUUAAUAACCGAUACAAAUGUUUAAUACAAUUCUUGUAUCACUUGCAGGACUAUCAAAUAUUAUUAAGCUUACAUUUUUAGCAAUUAUAUCUUUAAAAUGGUUAUCAUCGUUUUCGAGUAACCCUUUUCACACAGUCUAUAUUGAUAACACACAAUUACGAAUUCUGAAAAUGUCAACCAUAUUGAUAUUAAAGGAAAAAGCCCAGUAAU